rnacentral:sRNA from 1 species
GCCCUUACUUGCCAGCACACCUGUUGGAAUCUACUUCUACAGAAGUCCAGCUCAUGGGACUGAGCAACUACUACAUCCUUGGACUUAGACUACAGGGUCUCACAUUGCCAAGGCAAGACUCAAGCCUGCUGUGUGGCCAAAUGUACUUUGAACUUAUUCUCCUUCCUGCCUCAGUUUCCCAGUGCUAGGGUUGUAAGCGCUCUGGGCCAGGCCUGACACCAGGAUGCCCAAUUGUCUUCUCAUCUUUGUUACUUUUUAGUUUCUUAUCCUGUUGAGGUCUACCCCACCUAGCAUAGCUAUAGCCAUUUUGUUCCAUGCCUGCCAUCAUUGAUACAGAAAAUGACUCGACUCAGAGCAAGGUCAUGCUGUGAGGUUUGUUCAACUUAAUAAAUUACACAAAGCUUUACAUAUGGCCCACCACAUUAAAGGUAAAUAUGAGCUGUUCUGUCUGAAAUGGCUUGAGUCAGAGCCAACCAUCCGGCAGCACCUGCAUGCGAGCUCAUUGUGGCUUUGUGGGGUUUUCCCUUUAUAAGCCGGCCCUGAGAAAUGGUCAGAGUCAUGGCUCAGCCCCUGAAUUCUGAGCUACGGCCCUGGCCCUGAUUGAUCAGUCUCAGGGGGUCCAUUCAAUAAACCAUCCUUGUCUGA